rnacentral:tRNA from 3 species
GCGGACGUGGCUCAGUGGUAGAGCAUCGCCUUGCCAAGGCGAGGGUCGCGGGUUCGAGUCCCGUCGUCCGCUCCA